CUUUCUGUUUUUCGCGUGCAUUGUGCUACUCAGCUGAAAACAGUAUUAUGAAAGAGAAGUACUUCAAAAGACAACACUUUACUCAACCCAGAAGACUUGCUAUAAGUUCUCAAAUAGUAGCUGCCACUUCCAGCUGGGGGAGAAAUGAGAGCUCUGUUUGUGGCGAUCCAGUAUCUCCAGAGUCCAUCACCACUGCUGACCUCCCACUCUACAUCCCCAAGCGCUCUGCUGUACCUGCCACGAGCAGCUGUCACCUGCAGACUUUGGAAGGUUAUAACCAAACCUCUGUUUUCUGACCUGCCUUCUGCUUCAACAUCUUGACUUCCCACAAACAAUUCUAAUAAAAAGCAAUUAACCUGAAA